rnacentral:lncRNA from 1 species
ACGUCGCUGCGCCACCAGCCCAGCGUCGGCGGCGUCACGGCUCUCCGCGGAAGCGGUCUCUACGCCCUGCGCGGAUCCCUCCGCGGGAGCAAGUAGUGCCCGGGGACUUGAGCGGCUCUCUGGGCGCACAGUCGAUGUUUACAAGAGGCUGGCAGUUGCCAUCGACGCGGGUCCCUGCGCCCCACAGUGGCGUCCGUGGGUGAGAUCGGGGACCCCAUAAUGAAGGAUGGCAAGGAUCAGCGGCUUUGGACCCUUUCCAAGGAUUCCACAGGUCCCGUGUUCCAGAGGAAUCAUGCCUCGUGACCUCCCCCAGCCCCCCAACCCUGCCACCUCACCGUAGGGACCGGCACCUUAGCCUGUCCAAGAAACCGGACCCCUUUUUCGACCUGGCGCAGCUAGGAUUCUGCAGGCCUCAACAAAGGCGCCUUGUACCUUCCUUCAGGACUCCUUUUCAGAACUACAGGAGGCCAGGGUUCUAGGCCUACCUCUGUGGAGGCCAUUCCCCUGCCUAGUCAUACUUUCCUUCUACUUAAAACAAAGGACUUGGAACUCUAAAGGCCCUUCUGAUUCACAGGUUCAUUGUCCAGGUUAUGGUCCUGCUGUCAACAGGUGGAGCAUUUAGAAGGGUAGUUGGGCGCAUGGUGGACUUUGGAAUUUACUUCUACGUCAAUCUUCGCUGAUUCUUUCUCCAAACUAUUAGCACUGAUAAUCUGCCCAAUAGUUUCACACUUGAUUACUUUUGAGGUAUUACUUGCUGUUGCUUCAUUUGCGUUAGUCAUGUAUUCUCCCUACAGCACCAAGAACACUUUUGAACUCAGUAGAUAAUCAAUACGUGGAUAAUCAGGUAUUUGUUAGUUGAAUACUGGGUUGUUUGGAUGAAAGGACAGAGACCAGAAUGAUUGACCCUGGGAACUUUUUUUUUUUUUUAACCUCAAGGGGAUCAGAUAAAGACCUCAAGUAGUUAAAGAUCUGAGCCGCUCUAUUCCCUCAACAAACAUUGAACACCUGCCUUUUAGCAAGAAUCUCUGGGAACUGGGGAUUCAAAGUACUCAUAUAUUUCUUCUCUAAGUAGCGCUCUAGCAAUAUUCUGAAGUUUCAUUUACUCAUUCAUCCAACAAAUACUUGUCAGUCACUGCUAAGUUUGCCAGAUACCAGUGCUCAAGAUGUAUCCAUAAACAGAAAAGAAAGAAGGAAAAAACAUUUAUCUUUCCCUCUUGGAGCUUUCAUUUUAUAGUCUGAGGAGAAAGAUGAAAAACACAAUAAGAGAAUUAUUAAGUAUGUUAGAAGGCAUUGAGUACUAUCGGAAAAAACAGAGUAAGGGGCUAUAAAGAAUCCUGGAAGAAUAGGUGUUGUGAUUUUAAAUAGAACUGUGGGGGGAACCCAUUCAUCAUACUCUAAUCAAACUUUAAAGAAGUGAGGGAGAGCUGGGGAUAUAAUUCAGAGGUAGAGAGCUUGCCUAGCAUGCACAAGACCCUGGGUUCAAUCCCUAGCACUUCCCCGCCCCCCCCCCAAAAAAAAAAGAGGGAAUGAGCCAUGUAUAACACUUCCUGGCCCCAGGAAGUGUUAUAAAUAAUGAGAAGGCCAAGAGAUUUGGAAAAUAAAGACAGUGAAAUCUUGUAGGCCAUUGUAAGGAUCUUGGCUAAAACAGAUCCUCUACAGGGCUUUGAACAGAGGGAAAUCACUCUUACUUAUUUUGUUAACAGUAGAUGGUAGGAGGGCAAUAGUGGAAGCCAGAGGCUCCAUUAUCAGAGUGCAGAAGAUGGCUUGGACCAGGAUGACAGUAGUGUGUAGGACAAAUAAAAUAUGGACUCUAUACUUGAAGAACUCGUAGUCAAGUGGGAAGCAAGUAGAUGAAAUAAUUACAAUAUAUUAUGACAAAGAAAAUAAAACCCAAAAAGAAAUCUGCUCCAAAUUGCCAAAGGAAUUGGAAGGUCCUGGUUCUUUGUUGAUCCAUUAGGUGGAUCCUUGAUAACACCUGAUACUGGCCAUUUUCCCAGCCUUCCACCUCUCAAAGCCCACCUUUUUCUGAAGGGAGUUAUAGGCAGAAGACUACUAAAGAACAGUCUGGAUCAUAUAUUUAAGGAGAUGGACAAUGCUGAUAUUACUCCUAUUUGUUAGAGGAAGAAACUGAGGACAGUAGUUACCAGUAGUUAUGAGACUAGAGUCAAGGCCACUUGGAGUCAGCCAGGCAAUGGAAUAGAAGAGAAAAAAAGACUAGUAUUUGAACUUAGCUCCAAGUCUGAAGGUUUGGGCUUCUAAUCACCACCUCUUCUUAUAAUAAAGUUUUGGGCAGUUCCUCACUUCUCACUUGUCUGAGAUUCGGAGGUUCUUCCCUCAAGUGCUUAGUCUGGGCUUGUGGGUGAUAGGGCAAGAACACAACAGAGCUGGAUGGCUAGCUGCUAGAAUGGGGUAGGAAGGUAGGGAUCAGCCACCUUUGGGAAGAAAAGAAUCAUGAGUCACAGAGUAUCAGAAGAUGAAGAAGCAAUCAGAUGUAUAUGGGGUUCAUGCUUAAUGAGUAGAAUUUAGCUGUUCUUGCCACAAGAACAAAGAGUGGGUAACUGUGAGAUGGU